GCCUGGUCUCACUUCAGUUUUGUUUAUAACUAGCUGGUCACAAUCAGUUACAGUUUUCUUUUUUCCUUCUCAACUCCCAUUGCUUCACUUGACUAGCCUUAA
ensembl:misc_RNA Y_RNA Y RNA